rnacentral:sRNA from 1 species
GGGAGUGGGUGACUAGUGACAGAGGGAGGGAGAUAGGGGUGACUAGUGACAGAGUGAGGGAAUGGGUGACUAGUGGCAGAGUGAGGGAAUGGGUGACUAGUGGCAGAGUGAGGGAGGGAAGAGAUGACUAGUGGCAAAGUGAGGGAGGGAAGGGGUGACUAGUGACAGAGUGAGGGGGGGUGACUGUCACUAGUCACCCCAUCCCUCUCUCUGUCACUAGUCACUCCCUCCCUAACUCUGUCACUGUGUCACCCGCUCCCUCACUCUGUCACUGUGUCACCCGCUCCCUCUCUCUGUCACUAGUCACCCCAUCCC